UAAAGCAGCCGGAUAAUCGCGCAUUGCGCUGGCAGUGUUUUUGUUGAAAGACAGAAGCACAAGCGGCUGUCAGAUUUGACAGCCGGCUAACAAUGUGAGGAAAGUCCGUGCAUUCAAGGACAAAUCGCCGGGGAAACCCCGGACGGCGCGAGCCGGUGGAAAGUGCUACAGGAAACAUACUGCCGAUGGAAAUUCUAAAUUUCACAGGCGAUGGUGCAACGGUGAGUUAAGAGCUUCACCAGCAACACUGAGAAGUGUUGGCUAAGUAAACCCCGAUUGAAUGCAAGAUUAACUUGAAGGUUAAAGGCUGUCCGCCCACUUCAGAAAUAUCGCUAGAGAUUGCGGGUAACCGCAAUACCAGACAGAUGAUUAUCUAUAAACAGAACACGGCUUACGGGCUGCUUUAUUUU
rnacentral:RNase_P_RNA from 1 species